UACAGAGGGUGCGAGCGUUGUCCGGAAUCACUGGGCGUAAAGGGCGCGUAGGUGGCUUGUUAAGCGUGUGGUGAAAGCCUGGGGCUCAACCCCAGGUCUGCCGUGCGAACUGGCAAGCUUGAGCGUAGUAGAGGCAGGUGGAAUUUCGGGUGUAGCGGUGGAAUGCGUAGAUAUCCGAAAGAACACCGGUGGCGAAGGCGGCCUGCUGGGCUACUGCUGACACUGAGGCGCGACAGCGUGGGGAGCAAACAGG
rnacentral:rRNA from 1 species